rnacentral:rRNA from 1 species
GAUGAACGCUGGCGGCGUGCCUAACACAUGCAAGUCGAACGGAGCUGCUUUGAUGAAGUUUUCGGAUGGAUUUAAAACAGCUUAGUGGCGGACGGGUGAGUAACGCGUGGGUAACCUGCCUCACACUGGGGGAUAACAGUUAGAAAUAGCUGCUAAUACCGCAUAAGCGCACAGUUCCGCAUGGAACAGUGUGAAAAACUCCGGUGGUGUGAGAUGGACCCGCGUCUGAUUAGCCAGUUGGCGGGGUAACGGCCCACCAAGGCGACGAUGGAUAGGGGUUCUGAGAGGAAGGUCCCCCACAUUGGAACUGAGACACGGUCCAAACUCCUACGGGAGGCAGCAGUGAGGAAUAUGGUCAAAUGGGUCGGCAGACUGAACCAGCCAAGUCGCGUGAGGGAA